AUGUGGGACGGCGAGCGCUUUCUUACUCCUGCCUGUUCGUUCUGUUCAGAUUUGGGAGUAGAGAACUGGGUUUGCAGUUGUCGUCGUGGCUGUGGCUGUGGCUCCCAUACGUAUAUACCUCUGUCUCAGGUUGAAGGAGGAGCGGCGAUGGGAGGCAGCGGUUCGUCGUCCAGAAGAAAAUCGUCCAAGCGGAAACGCGACAAGAGGAAAAAAACUCGAAGAAAGGAGUCGAAGAAGCGCCGCCAUGUUCAUGAUUCGGAGUCUUCUUACUCUGACUCUGAAUCAUUGAACUCCGACGACAUAGCUCAUAAAUCAGAUCAUGUAAGAAGAAGUAAACAUAAGAAGCUUCGUCGCGACUCUUCAUCAAUGUCCUCGUCAUCAUCCGAUGCUGAUAAGUCUAUAAGCUCAGAUUCUGAUUCCUUGCCCACGCCUAAACGUAGCCGCAAGCAUAGGAAGAACGGACAUUCACGAGUUGUUUUCAAAAGAAAAAAGAAACGAGAUCAGAAGAGAUCUGCUCGCCCAAGAUCUGAUUCAGAUGCUGGCAGUACAAGAAAAAGGAAACGAGCCAACAGCAAUGCUAAAUCCCAAAGGAAAUCCUCAAAGAAGAGAUCGAGAAAAUACUCGAGCAGUGAUUCAGAAAGCUGCUCUACAUGCCAUAGUAGCAGCUCAGACAGCAAGCACCCCAGGAGUAAAGCAAUUUUCGAUGAGGAUGACCGAUGGGUGAAAGAUACAGAAUCAAACAGGACUUCUCAUAUUCACGAAGAUAGGUUUCCAAGUUAUUAUUCUUCACACAGUUGGGGGAGUGAUCAUAAUAUUGGAGUCAACGAUGGUAUUGGAGCUACCAGGUGGGUGGAUAAUCCCCGGCGCCUGAAAUCUGUUAUUGCUGUUAUUGAUCGAUCCCAUGGUGAUGAUGAAGGAGAGAAUAGAUGGGGAAUGGAUCAACAUAAAGAAGAGAUUUUUUACGACCGAGAAGAUUAUCCUUCUCCCAAGAGCCUGGAUAGUUAUGAAGGUGGAACCAAGAGGGUUUCUGUAGAAAAUAUCGCAGGCGAAGAAGCACAAUCGGAAGGAGCACUUGAAGAUGAUUUUAAUAAGAAAGCGACAGACAUCCCUGGAUCUGCUCCGGCUGCUGGUUCAGGUGGGGAUGAUUUGGAGUUGAUAUUGAGGCAGAAGGCUCUUGAAAAUUUAAGAAAGUUUCGAGGGAAGCUUCCGGUAGGAUCAACGAGCACUGAUAAAAAUAGGAGUAAUGACCAUGACGUUAACUAUCUGUCUGCUGGAAAGGCUGAUUAUGUUCACGAAGAAUCAACCAAACAGGACAGUCCUAGCACUCAAGAAUUGAGUAGUAGAGACGGGUCCUCAUUGCUCAAUGAGGUUAAAAAGGCCCCAGAUGCUGAGGCCGUGGAGGGUGAACUCAGAAUUUCUGAGCCGACUAGGGCAGCGCCCUUAGGACGUGCGAACAAAGACAAAGGCUUCAAUUCUAUUGCUGUUUUGACCAAACAGGAUUUGAAAGGCGAUUGUAACCCCGAGGGAGGAGAUUCCAUUGCCAGCAAUUCUUCGAUGGCACAAUCUUCUACUCUAGCUGGGGUGUCUACAGGGGUUAGCAAGGCGGACCAACAGAAUGAAGACAAGGAUGGUUCUCAGUUUCAACAACGAAUGAUGUCGGUAAUGAGGGGAGGUGAGAUGGUUCAGGUGAGCUAUAAGGUUUACAUCCCAAACAAGACCCCUGCCCUGGCUAGACGAAACCUCAGGCGAUAAUUCUACGAGACAUUCAUUUCUGACUGUAGGACUACGGACCCAGGAUGUCUAUUUGUUGUAUUGUCUGGUUGCAGAACUCGAGAUUAUUCGGCAACGCUCUCGGAUGCUUUCUUCUGCUUUCUUGAAACCACUUACACAGGCCCAAUCAUCCAUCAUCGACACACUCAUUCCCUCGAGGAAUUGGGAAUAACGUUCCAUUACAGUCGGGACCUGUCCAAGAACAAGGAUCUU